UACGUAGGGGGCAAGCGUUAUCCGGAUUUACUGGGUGUAAAGGGAGCGUAGACGGCAGCGCAAGUCUGGAGUGAAAUGCCGGGGCCCAACCCCGGAACUGCUCUGGAAACUGGGAGACUUGAGUGCAGAAGAGGAGAGUGGAACUCCAUGUGUAGCGGUGAAAUGCGUAGAUAUAUGGAAGAACACCAGUGGCGAAAGCGGCUCUCUGGUCUGUAACUGACGCUGAGGUUCGAAAGCGUGGGUAGCAAACAGG
rnacentral:rRNA from 1 species